CAUCUCCCCGCAGGGCUCAGCACACAGUGUCGCAGACCCUACAGGUCUCCGGGAUGCAGGCUCCAUCUGUGGGAUGCUCCAGUGACUAAGGUCUCUCUGGUCCUUCCAGAAAUCCCCUUCUUUGCCCUGCCUGGGGCUUGAAGACUUGCUUAUACAGACUCAAAAGCCUUCCCUUUGAUCUCUGGCUAUAACAUCCUUCUCGGGAGCAGCGGUACUGGAUGGUGUCACUGCAGAUGUGAUGACAGAGGCCCAGGUCAAGGGUACAGAAUACCCAUGGGGGCAUCAUCAGUUAACAUUUUAAACAAUUUCUGCCCACCUCGCGGAUGUGGACCUGGGGUGGGCAGAGGUCAUGUGCCAGGUUUGGGGUACGAGGUGGGCGUUGGUGGGGAAGAAGGGCUGGGCAGAAGACCCUGGCCCUCCUCAAACACAGAGGCCAGAGUCUGAAUUCUGCCAUGCGAGGCCCAUUCUUCUGGCGUCCUUUGUGAUGGAAAGAUCUUUGAAAAUGCCAGCCUCGUGAGAUAAUAAUAACACUGUUAGUCAUUUAGCAAGUGAUGGCAUUUGGACCCCAUGUGGAUGGCAGGAGCUCCAGCGUAGGGUGGGGUCUGGGCUGGGGAGGAAAGCAGCCAUCAGCUCCACGACAGGCCCUGCCUGGAGCCCGAGAUGGGGAAGCUUUUCAGCUCCCCUCCCUCCCGCCUGGCACUGUGCUCCGAAUGGCAGCGACCAACGGGACCACCGCAAGCCACCCUGACGGCAGUCUGUUGUCGGUCAGGAAUAAAUGCUUUCCACUUGGUUCAACGUAUGAGCAAUUUACUGGGUUCCCAGAAAGUGAAGAAGAAAAAUAAUGCCACUGAAAACCCCAGAUGGAAAAUCCUGUGGGCAUAAAACUCUUCGCUGGCCAACGGACUUUAGUCCUCGCAGGAGCCUGGCAGCAAACUGGGAUGAGACCCCGUGCGUGUUUGUGUUCAGACCUCUGACGGAGCAGCGAGGAAUUUUAACUCACUCGCAGCUGGCCUUUUCUCAGGGUCUCCCCAGGAGACAACAGCUCAGGGAUGUGACCCAACAUUUUAGGAAUGUGGAAAUUCUGCCUUUGCUGGGCUCCUCCUGUGAGGACACUGACCCCCAACCAGGGGUCCAGGAGACAUUCUGUCUAAGUUACUGAUCUUUGGUGAUCCAGCCACCGUUCACAGUGAGACGCUGAAAGUCCGACUGACUGUGCAUUGAGGGGCCCUGAGGCCAGCGAACCCUGGGGCAGAACUAGCUGACAGGGCCGAGACGCUUCACCUCGGCGCCCUGAGGGCUCCGGACGCGCAGGCUCAGCAGCCAUGGCUCACGGGCC